rnacentral:rRNA from 1 species
CCUACGGGAGGCUGCAGUGGGGAAUAUUGCGCAAUGGGCGAAAGCCUGAUGCAGCGACGCCGCGUGAGGGAUGAAGGUCUUCGGAUCGUAAACCUCUGUCAGCAGGGAAGAACGGUCACUGUGCUAAUCAGCAGUGAAUUGACGGUACCUGCAAAGGAAGCACCGGCUAACUCCGUACCAGCAGCCGCGGUAAUACGGAGGGUGCGAGCGUUAAUCGGAAUUACUGGGCGUAAGGCGCUCGUAGGCGGUAUGUCAAGUCAAGGGUGAAAUCCCCGCGCUCAACGUGGGAACUGCCUUUGAAACGGGCAAACUGGAGUGUGUGAGAGGAUAGUGGAAUUCCAGGUGUAGGAGUGAAAUCAGGAGAUAUCUGGAGGAACAUCAGUGGCGAAGGCGACUAUCUGGCACAUAACUGACGCUGAGGAGCGAAAGCGUGGGUAGCAAACAGGAUUAGAUACCCUAGUAGUC